CAUCAAAGAAAUCAUCAAGGAAGGUAUCAUGUGAUUCUGUUCGAUUGAUCCAGCAAUAGCAAUUUAUUAACGUCAUUUAAACAAAAAAAUAAACAAUUUUCAAAUGACUUUAUUUGAUAGAUCCAGGUACUCGGUAGAUUUAAUUAAGAUGGACAUACGAAACGUUCAGAUUCAAAGCUCGAUAGGUUUGUUCCAUACGAGGAUUAUAUUUCUUGAACGAUGACGUCGAAAUAUGACUCUAACUCCGCGGCAAAUUUAUCAGAUUUUCUAUUCCUACUUGCAUCUUGUAACUGCAUUUGCGAUACCUAAUGGUCACAUUUCAACUAUGUAAAGAAAAUAAUAAUCCGUGUAUAAAUUGUACACAUUUUGAAUUUAAUGGUUGACGCGGAUGCUGGGAUUCUACUCAUGACAAUAUAUCAACAAUCUGUUACACUUUCAACGCCCAUUGUCUCCUUUACAACAAACUAUCUCAAGCGUUUGAUUUCUAUGUUUCACUUUCAAGAAACACCGUUCCCUUCGAAUCUACUCGCUAUUCAUCGUUUCUAGGAAGAAGACAGACCAAGAUUCACGAAAUACAACCGAUAUCCUCUUUUUACGACGAGCAGUACCAGAUGCAUCCUCGCAAUAAAGGCAUAAACUGUUUCGUACAGCCGGCAUCGAGGGCGGCAGGGUUCGAAACAGAAAGGGGAGUACCACGAAAGAAGAAUAGAGGGAUCCUCCGAGUUGUACGAACGUUCAAUUAAAGCCGGUAAAAACGGCCAAGAAGAAGCUGGUAACCUUCCUGGAAACAACUAGAGACCCUGGUUUUACAACCACAAUGCGUUCGCCUGCUUUUUAAUGCAAUUGAAGAUAAACAAAUCUUUGGACAAGGAACAGCUAUGAUUGUUCGUGACUGGAUCGUUUUUAAAGGAUUUCUGAGAGAACAACAGGGAAAUUAAGUUGCCGGGUUCGCAGGAUAGGAUCGAAUGAAUCAAUUAACGUAAUUCCGAGACAUUGUUCCAGCGAAUUUAUUCUAUUAUCGUUCCCACGAAUGCGUGACUUUGAUUACGUGAGAAAAACACGGGGAUUGCAUACGGAUGGAAUCGGUUUCAUUCACUUUUCAUGAAACAAUGCUUAUUAAUCCUACACCGUUUUAUUAAAUUCAUCUCCAUCCAAGAUUAAUUGAAACGAAAAAAAAA